rnacentral:rRNA from 1 species
UAUAUGUUUAUAUAUAUAAAUUAUCUCGCCUGUUUAACAAAAACAUGUCUUUUUGAGUUGAUUUUAAAGUCUAACCUGCCCUCUGAAUAAUUUUUGAAUGGCCGCAGUAUUUUGACUGUGCAAAGGUAGCAUAAUCAUUAGUCUUUUAAUUGAAGGCUGGUAUGAAUGGUUGGACGAAGUAUAAGCUGUUUCAUAUAAAUUUAUUAUAGAAUUUUAUAUUUUAGUAAAAAAGCUAAAAUUUUAUUAAAAGACGAGAAGACCCUAUAAAUCUUUAUAUUUAAUUUUAUUUAAUUUUUUUUGAUUUAUUUAAUUUUAAUAAUAUUAAGUAUUUUGUUGGGGUGAUGUUAAAAUUUAAUUAACUUUUAAUUAAAAAAAUCAUUAAUUUAUGAUUCAUUGAUCCAAUAGUAUUGAUUAUAAGAUUAAGUUACUUUAGGGAUAACAGCGUAAUUUUUUUUAAGAGUUCAUAUCGACAAAAAAGUUUGCGACCUCGAUGUUGGAUUAAGGUAUAAUUUUGGGUGUAGCUGUUCAAAUGUUAAGUCUGUUCGACUUUUA